CCCCCAAAACAUCUGCCCUCCCUCUCAAACAAUGGAUUUUCCCAGUGAGGCUGACUGAAAACACCAGGUCCUCGUCGUCACGGCUCAUGGGCGCGCUUCCAUGGCAACGCAUGACCAGGUGACCUCAAAGAGAAGAGAGAAUGACUAAAACAAAAAUAUUACAUAAACAAGUUAUUUUCUCCAAACAAAAACAAUUCAUUUACCAGAUAAAUUAGAAUAUAGAAAGUACAAAAAUCAGCACCUGUUAGGGAGGGGGUAAAUCCCUCACAAAUACCUCACAGCCGGCCCUUUAAGAGCAUUCAUGAUCUUGAUUUGGCCCAAAACGAAAAUGAGUUUGACACCCCUGGUCUAAGUGAUGAUCUAUGACUUUCUGCUCCCUUUGGGUAUAAACCCGACAUGCGCUGGAGGCCACUGGGACGAAAGAGGAUCCACAUUUGUUUUGCCACCAAACGCAGUGAGGGGGAUGAUAAUGGAGGCAAAAAUGUACAUUUCCAAAACUCACUUUUGAAAUUUGCAGCAAAGAGCAGAACGUUAGGAUAACCAAAUGUUCUUAUCAGUCAUUGGAUAAUAUCUACAAGCUAACCGAAUGUUUGGGGGAGACGUCUGAAAAAGAAUAUUUUCCCUCCUAAACUAGUGAAUGUAAACACAUGGAGCUUCCUAAUGUUGGGUAAUGAAUAUAUGGUGAAGCACGUCAUGUCGGCUAUUAGGCAUGGAGAACAUGUGAUGCUGUGGGCCGGCUUAUCUUCCAAAUGUUCUGGGAGACUUAAUAAAAACAACAACAAAAAAAACAGGUGGUUCAAUCCAGCAAACGGAAAGUAGUUCUUCAUCGCUGACUCUUUUAGCCGGAUAAUGAUCAAAAAACGUGACCAAAUCAAAACAAAAACGAGUCACUAAAUGUAAAAUCAUCGAGUUAAAUCCUUUAGCAAACUUGGGAGCUGAAGAGAAGAAAGCAAAGGACCCCUCUCUGUGAAAUCUUGUUCCACCACGGUUCUCAGGUAAGACUGGUGGUACUAUGGAUACCGAGGUUACUUGGUAUCAACUGUUUACAAGUAAAAUAAAAAUAAAAAAGCUAGUUAGCUAAUGAGGUCAAAGAGCUGCAGAGACCCGAUUGAUCUUUGCUCUAAAUGUUCCCGUCCCCCAAAAGAAAGUGCAUUAAAUUAAAUUAGCCUGAGAAACGUACAUUGUUAUCAGGUUAAUUACAUGUUUUAAUUUUUAUUUGCCAUCACUGGUUAUGUUUGGAGGUUCUGUUAGCUUCCUCUGCACUACAGUAAUGCAGAGGAAGCCCACAUGCUCGAGCGAGUGAAACCCAACAUUAAGAGUAAUGUGAGACGCAUGAUCAAAGCUGAUCUUACUCUCUCUCUCGGCCAUAUUUGCGUUUUAUUGCUUGCAGUAAAUCACAGGAGUGCAGCGUGCUUCCAGCGCGCGGUAGAACAACCGCAGCGCGCGCGCGCGGGUCCGCUAACUCCCGCUGAACUCUGCAGCUGUCGCGCGCUGAAAUGCAAGAGCAGGUGAGAAGCAGAUGCCAGGAGGCGAAGAGAGUGAAACCCAGUCCAUGGUGGAGAGAAGCUGCAAAAGAAAAGAAGAGCUGCGUCAUCUCUAGUGAGAAGUGUGCGCUCGGAAACAAGGUCCUGACUGUGCAGAAGGCUGGAAUAGUUCAGCAGCAAAUUGGAUGACUCCUUUUGUUUCUGCGAAACAGCAACGUCUGUCUCAGAGGGCGGCCCGUCGCAUCGCCGCGUUCUCCGUCAAAAGAUGCGAAACGUUCAUUAGAAGCUUUUGGGUGUGCCAUGUUUGGACAAUAAAUUAGUCCGUCUUAAUCGCCGCUCGAUUGUUUUUGCCGCACGGAGCCGUUUCUGGAGCCAAGCAAGGAAUUACUAAUAGAUUGCCAGUCAGCAUCCGAAGGAGGUGAUUUUAAAUUAACGCCGUCACACAGAAAAAUAAAACUCGCCGUGCUUCUGCUUCUUCUUGAUUGAUUCGAUGAGAUCCUACAGGAAGUUCAUUCUUUAAACUUCAAAUGAUGUUUCAGUAUUACCUCGUAGUAAAAUGAUGGUACGUCAGAGUGUGCCUUCAGCCUAUGGUUCCUUGUAACAGGCUCUGAGCAGAUAGCCAGCCUCCAAUUUCACAAAAUUUCCCCAAGGGCUGGCAAAACUGAAUCGAUGAUCUCAUGCACCUGACUAGACCAUCUGCCUCAUUGUUAGAGAAUAUAUCCAUGCCUAAAGUAAACAUGAUCUGCUGUGCUGCUCUUAGAUUUAUUGUUUCCUACAGUAUAUUUUAUAAAAAGUCAGGUAUGUAUGCUUACAUAACUUUUAGAAAGUGAUUUGACAAAGAAAAAAAAACUAUUUUUUCAAAAGUAUUCACCCCUUUUUUCCACAUUAUGGUUACACUGCUGAAUAUACAUGUAUAUAUAUAUAUAUAUUUCUUUUUAAGGUGUUUUGACUGUAGGGCUAGGACAGGAAAGUAGGGUAAUGAGAGCGGGAGAAGACAUGCAGCAACAGUCACUAGGCAGGCCAGGAUUCGAACCUGUGACGGCCGCGCCUGUGAUGUA